UGUCAGAGAGGGGUAUUGUGUAAUGUCAAAUUGAAACAAAAAAUUAGUUCAAUUUACAUUGAAUUGGUUUUUGUGGUUCAGAAAAUACAGAAAAGCCUAUGAACACAACUAACAAAAUGAUCAAGGGGCUGGUAAUAUUUGGCACGGGAUUGUAUGCUGGAGUAUACAUAGCACAAAAUUAUCAGAUUGACAAGGUUGAAGAUCCGAAGGUUCUUUUUGAAAAGGCACAAGCUUUCAUUAAAUCCAAAAUAGGAGGAGAUGACGGCAAAAAAGGUGGAAAGGACUGCUAAUAUUUUGAAAAUCAGUUUUAAGAAAAUAUCCUAUGAUUUUGUAAAUAUGUUUAUUAGUUCUUAUACAAUGAUAAUCUAAAUAAAUUAGCAUUAAAAACAGA